rnacentral:snoRNA from 1 species
AACCUAUAGUGAGGGCACCUUCUCAAUAAGUCUUUAUACCUCUCUCAUGCAUCAUACAGAGUCUAUAAAUCCAUUUGCAUGAAAGAAGAGAUAUCAUUCCUCAGCUU